GAUGAACGCUGGCGGCGUGCCUAAUACAUGCAAGUCGAGCGAACAGACGAGGAGCUUGCUCCUCUGACGUUAGCGGCGGACGGGUGAGUAACACGUGGAUAACCUACCUAUAAGACUGGGAUAACUUCGGGAAACCGGAGCUAAUACCGGAUAAUAUAUUGAACCGCAUGGUUCAAUAGUGAAAGACGGUUUUGCUGUCACUUAUAGAUGGAUCCGCGCCGCAUUAGCUAGUUGGUAAGGUAACGGCUUACCAAGGCAACGAUGCGUAGCCGACCUGAGAGGGUGAUCGGCCACACUGGAACUGAGACCCGGUCCAGACUCCUACGGGAGGCAGCAGUAGGGAAUCUUCCGCAAUGGGCGAAAGCCUGACGGAGCAACGCCGCGUGAGUGAUGAAGGUCUUCGGAUCGUAAAACUCUGUUAUUAGGGAAGAACAAAUGUGUAAGUAACUAUGCACGUCUUGACGGUACCUAGUCAGAAAGCCACGGCUAACUACGUG
rnacentral:rRNA from 1 species